rnacentral:rRNA from 1 species
CCUACGGGUGGGCUGCAGUGGGGAAUAUUGGACAAUGGGCGAAAGCCUGAUCCAGCCAUGCCGCGUGUGUGAAGAAGGCCUUCGGGUUGUAAAGCACUUUCAGUGGGGAAGAAAGCCUUGGGGCUAAUACCCUCGAGGAAGGACAUCACCCACAGAAGAAGCACCGGCUAACUCCGUGCCAGCAGCCGCGGUAAUACGGAGGGUGCGAGCGUUAAUCGGAAUUACUGGGCGUAAAGCGCGCGUAGGCGGUCUGAUAAGCCGGUUGUGAAAGCCCCGGGCUCAACCUGGGAACGGCAUCCGGAACUGUCAGGCUAGAGUGCAGGAGAGGAAGGUAGAAUUCCCGGUGUAGCGGUGAAAUGCGUAGAGAUCGGGAGGAAUACCAGUGGCGAAGGCGGCCUUCUGGACUGACACUGACGCUGAGGUGCGAAAGCGUGGGUAGCAAACAGGAUUAGAUACCCUUGUAGUC